ACGAGCGGUACCACUGGAUUACAUCCUCUGAGGAGCGGCGCACAUAAUGAGUCUGCAUUUCUGCUUCCGAGCAAGCUGGGAUAUGAGAAGAAAGAAUUUCACUGUGCUGUAAUGUAAUCUGUGAAAUUCUUAGACCAUCAUGCCAAGGGAAAUUAGGUGUCCGUGUCUGUGUGUGUAUGUGUGUGUGAGAAUGGGAAAGAGAGUGAGUGAAGAAAAGAGGUGGAGUUCCACGCGCUAAACCUGGACUGUAUAAAUGUUUGGAUUUGUGCAUACAUGGCAUAAACCUACUUUAGAAGAAGACCUAUAGUAGAACAGUUUCACAGCUGUGAAGUGGCAACACUUAGGAUUCGUAAAAAAGAUGCCAUGGAUCAAACAUAUCUUUUUCAUUGGAUGCUGAUGUCAGUCCUGCUGAUCACAACAUAUGGAAAUCAAACAACUGUCAAUAUAGACUGCCAAGACCAAAGAGGGAUUGUUGAAAAAUCUUUCAAUCUAACCUGCAAUGUUACCAGUCAAUCAUAUGUUUAUGAGGACUAUCAUUUUAAACAUAAUGGUAAGAAGCUCGAAAAAAAAAUGGAGCCUGUGAAUGGCAAUCGCACAUAUUAUUACACGAUUGCAAAUGCAGCAUUAAAUGACAGCGGAAAUUACACAUUGUGGAUACAAAUGAAAACUGGACAAAACAAAAGCACUUUCACGGUGACUAUAGAUAAUUUUGAAGCAGCAGCUUUAUCAGUUGUACCAGAUCUACCAACUGAAGUCAAAGCUGCAGGUUUAGCUUUUCUUGUGUUUUCUCUUAUCACAGUCACUACUGCAGUAUGUGCCUAUAGAAUAAGAAAAAAAGGACUGCAGUAUACACCUUACCUGUCUCAGCAACUGUGAUGACAACAAGUAAACCUGAAAUUUGAGAGAUUUUUCCCUUUUUAAAUCUCAGAACAGAGUUAUAUUUAAAAAGUGAUUUAAUUGCUGUAUCUGCAAAACCCUGUCUAUGUGUCAAAAAAGUGUUUUACCUUUUUUUUCUUUUAUCUACCGUAAUUUUCUAUUAAGACUAUUAAGUGCACCCAUAUAUAAGCUGCACCCAAUGAAUUUGACUAAGAUUUUUAUUUUUAAAAUAAAUAAGCCGCACCUGUCUAUAAGC